UACAGAGGGUGCAAGCGUUUGUUCGGAAUUAUUGGGCGUAAAGCGCGUGUAGGCGGCUUUGCAAGUCGGGUGUGAAAGCCCUCAGCUCAACUGAGGAAGUGCGCCCCGAAACUGCAGAGCUUGAGUGCCGGAGAGGGGUGGCGGAAUUCCCCCAAGUAGAGGUGAAAUUCGUAGAUAUCAGGAGGAACACCGGUGGCGAAGGCGGCCACCUGGACGAUAACUGACGCUGAGACGCGAAAGCGUGGGGGAGCAAACAGG
rnacentral:rRNA from 1 species